ACGACAGAUUCUUGAGCUUCGUGAGCUUCAACAGCCAUGCCUCGGCUCCAAUGGACCCUACAAACUCUAUGUUGUAUAUAAAUAGAAUUUUAGGGAGAGAAGGUUACUCAGCCGUGGUAGAAUUUAUGGUGAAUGUCCGUGAAGAAGGUCAUCCGACGGUGUUUGACACUAGGAUGACGGUUGAGGGUUGAUCUGGAGCGUUGCAACAACGAUUUUUGCAAAGAAAAACCCUGAGUUCUUAUGUGAGACGCGAUAUAUGCAUCCUUUCUCCAUCUGAGCCUAGAGGCCUUUGAUACCGAUUGAAGGACCUUGAACAGAUCUUGAGGCAUUCUACUACUAAUGUUGCCGAAAGAAUACAAUGUGUGAAGUGGCUUCUGAAAUCCAGAAGACAGGCGAUCUUCGUGAGCUUCAGCAGCAAUGCCUCGGCACCAAAGGUACAUACAAACCUAGGAAAUGAUGAAGAAGAUCACAUUGAAAUGAUCUUAAGGAAAGAUAUGUCAGAUUCUUGAGCUUCGUGAGCUUCAACCACCACGCCUCAGCCCCAAUGGCCCCUACAAACCCUAUGUAAGAUGUUGAUUCAAUUUAAUUAAUCAGCUAAUUUGUAAGAAUUUAAAUGAAAAUCAUGUUUUAGU